UGUGUGUGUGUGUGUGUGUGUGUGUGUGUGUGUGUGUGUGUGUACAAUGUGUUUAUGAAUGAGGAGGCCUGUGUCAGGUCUAGAGGUUAGAUGUUUUGUUUGCCUUUUUAAUCUCAUUUGUUCAGACAUUUGAAUCUCUUGUGUUUUCUAGAGCUCCUUGUCUUUCCCCGUCCUCUUGGUCAUAGUAUUUGACAGUUGGUUUUUUUCCCUCCCAUCCAAAGUGUGCUCAUUAGAGGGGUUCUCACUGUCAGGCAGCAGCUUAACCCCAUGUUCUUCCAGGUGCUCUGCCUAACAGCGUAAGGGGAAAUUGAACACUCAGUUUACCCAAACCACCCACUUUUUUCAAGCUAACUGGAGAAGUCUCUCCAUUUAUUUUGAAUCCACAGGCCUCUGGUAGGCCGAGAUACCACCUAGUUAUGCUGUAUCUGUUUUCCAAACAGGAGGUAGAGGCCCUUGGAGCCAAGGCGACCAGCACAAUAGGUUGCUGCUAGACCGGGGGAAUGAUGUUUGUGCUGUUCUCCCUUCUGGCCCACUCCUCUCAAGAGCCUUUCUCUUUGUUCUUUUGUUCAUGUCUGUGUAUUUUCCCUGUGGCACUGGCAGUGGGGUACUUUUUCAUCCAGAGAAAAACUUGUCAGUGCUCCCAAGAAUGAAUUUCCAGGGAUUUGUGGGAAGGGAAGGAGCAGGGGCUGUGGCAGCAUGUCCUAGUGUUGCACUUUGAGAGGAUUGUCUACUGCAGUAAUAAACGGAAAGUAUCAGCAAGA
rnacentral:lncRNA from 1 species